AGCGUAGACGGACUGGCAAGUCUGAUGUGAAAGGCGGGGGCUCAACCCCUGGACUGCAUUGGAAACUGUUAGUCUUGAGUGCCGGAGAGGUAAGCGGAAUUCCUAGUGUAGCGGUGAAAUGCGUAGAUAUUAGGAGGAACACCAGUGGCGAAGGCGGCUUACUGGACGGUAACUGACGUUGAGGCUCGAAAGCGUGGGGAGCAAACA
rnacentral:rRNA from 1 species